rnacentral:rRNA from 1 species
GUGGGGAAUAUUGCGCAAUGGGCGAAAGCCUGACGCAGCGACGCCGCGUGGGGGAUGAAGGCCUUCGGGUUGUAAACCCCUUUCAGCAGGGACGAAGCGAAAGUGACGGUACCUGCAGAAGAAGCGCCGGCUAACUACGU